rnacentral:rRNA from 1 species
AGUAACACGUGAGUAACCUGCCCCCUUCUUCGGGAUAACGUUUGGAAACGGAUGCUAAUACCGGGUAUUUACCUCAUGUCGCAUGGUGUGGGGUGGAAAGGUUUUUUCUGGUGGGGGAUGGGCUCGCGGCCUAUCAGCUUGUUGGUGGGGUGAUGGCCUACCAAGGCUUUGACGGGUAACCGGCCUGAGAGGGUGACCGGUCACAUUGGGACUGAGAUACGGCCCAGACUCCUACGGGAGGCAGCAGUGGGGAAUUUUGCACAAUGGGCGAAAGCCUGAUGCAGCGACGCCGCGUGAGGGAUGACGGCCUUCGGGUUGUAAACCUCUUUCGCUCAUGGUCAAGGCUAGUUUUUGUUCUAGUUGAGGGUAGUGGGUAAAGAAGCGCCGGCUAACUACGUGCCAGCAGCCGCGGUAAUACGUAAGGCGCGAGCGUUGUCCGGAAUUAUUGGGCGUAAAGGGCUUGUAGGCGGCUUGUCGCGUCUGCCGUGAAAACCCACAGCUUAACUGUGGGCUUGCGGUGGGAACGGGCUGGCUUGAGUGCGGUAGGGGAGACUGGAAUUCCUGGUGUAGCGGUGGAAUG